UCGAGCGGAAACGAUGGAGCUUGCUCCAGGCGUCGAGCGGCGGACGGGUGAGUAAUGCAUAGGAAUCUGCCCGGUAGUGGGGGAUAACCUGGGGAAACCCAGGCUAAUACCGCAUACGUCCUACGGGAGAAAGCAGGGGAUCUUCGGACCUUGCGCUAUCGGAUGAGCCUAUGUCGGAUUAGCUUGUUGGUGAGGUAAAGGCUCACCAAGGCGACGAUCCGUAGCUGGUCUGAGAGGAUGAUCAGCCACAUCGGGACUGAGACACGGCCCGAACUCCUACGGGAGGCAGCAGUGGGGAAUAUUGGACAAUGGGCGAAAGCCUGAUCCAGCCAUGCCGCGUGUGUGAAGAAGGCUUUCGGGUUGUAAAGCACUUUCAGUGAGGAAGAAGGCCUUGGGGCUAAUACCCCCGAGGAAGGACAUCACUCACAGAAGAAGCACCGGCUAACUCCGUGCCAGCAGCCGCGGUAAUACGGAGGGUGCGAGCGUUAAUCGGAAUUACUGGGCGUAAAGCGCGCGUAGGCGGCGUGAUAAGCCGGUUGUGAAAGCCCCGGGCUCAACCUGGGAACGGCAUCCGGAACUGUCAGGCUAGAGUGCAGGAGAGGAAGGUAGAAUUCCCGGUGUAGCGGUGAAAUGCGUAGAGAUCGGGAGGAAUACCAGUGGCGAAGGCGGCCUUCUGGACUGACACUGACGCUGAGGUGCGAAGCGUGGGUAGCAAACAGGAUUAGAUACCCUGGUAGUCCACGCCGUAAACGAUGUCGACUAGCCGUUGGGGUCCUAGAGACCUUUGUGGCGCAGUUAACGCGAUAAGUCGACCGC
rnacentral:rRNA from 1 species